AUACCUUUCUCGGCCUUCUGGCUUAGAUCAAGUGUAGUAUUUGUUCUUAUUAGUUUAAUAUCUGAUAUGUGGGUCAUCGGCUCACUCUUUCUUAAAUUAAUUUUAUGAGGGGGAAGGCCCACUAUAGUAGCUUGCUACUAGCUCGGACCUCUCAUGCAUUGCCUUGGUGUUGCACUAUUGCCUUGGCCUAGCGCACUCCAC